CUGACCUGCAGUGCAGCAGAAUUCAGAGUCUUGUUUGCGCUCCGGUGACGCGCAGCUAACCUUGAGAGAUGUAACUUACUCCAAAGACGCAUUAACUUGCACAGCAUUGAAUGGAAAAGGCUUUGUCCAUGUCCAGUUGAGGGCAUCAAGAACAAGCAGAUGGCCUAAACCUGUCAACCUGUGACAGACUGCAGUUCUGCUAUUCCACACCAAGGCUUUUGUAUGGAUGUCUGACUACUACUGUGUUCUCUAAAGGUAUUACUGGAGCAAAA